rnacentral:rRNA from 1 species
UACGUAGGGUGCAAGCGUUGCCCGGAUUUUAUUGGGGCGUAAAAGGGCGCGUAGGCGGCUCUGCACGUUCGUUGUGAAAUGCCCGCUCACUGGGCGGGGUCGGCGGAUACGGCGUGGCUGGAGCAAGCUAGGGGGCAGUGGAAUUCCCGGUGUAGUGGUGGAAUGCGUAGAUAUUCGCAAGAACACCAGUGGCGAAGGCGGCUCACUGGCCCGAUACUGACGCUGAGGCACGAAAAGCGUGGGGGAGCAAACAGG